AAUGAUAGUCUUGCAUUUGUUUGCAAGAAGCUGGCAAUUGGCAGCAGGGGAUGGAUCACUUGAUGAUUACCUAUUCUGUUCAUUCCCUCUGAGGCACCUGACAUUGGCCACUGUUGGAAGACAGGAUUCUGGGCUAGAUGGACCUUUGGACUGACUCAGUAUGGUCGUUCUUUUG